GUAACGGCUCACCAAGGCAACGAUACGUAGCCGACCUGAGAGGGUGAUCGGCCACACUGGAACUGAGACACGGUCCAGACUCCUACGGGAGGCAGCAGUAGGGAAUCUUCCGCAAUGGGCGAAAGCCUGACGGAGCAACGCCGCGUGAGUGAUGAAGGUCUUCGGAUCGUAAAGCUCUGUUGUUAGGGAAGAACAAAUGUGUAAGUAACUGUGCACAUCUUGACGGUACCUAACCAGAAAGCCACGGCUAACUACGUGCCAGCAGCCGCGGUAAUACGUAGGUGGCAAGCGUUAUCCGGAAUUAUUGGGCGUAAAGCGCGCGUAGGCGGUUUUUUAAGUCUGAUGUGAAAGCCCACGGCUCAACCGUGGAGGGUCAUUGGAAACUGGAAAACUUGAGUGCAGAAGAGGAAAGUGGAAUUCCAUGUGUAGCGGUGAAAUGCGCAGAGAUAUGGAGGAACACCAGUGGCGAAGGCGGCUUUCUGGUCUGUAACUGACGCUGAUGUGCGAAAGCGUGGGGAUCAAACAGGAUUAGAUACCCUGGUAGUCCACGCCGUAAACGAUGAGUGCUAAGUGUUAGGGGGUUUCCGCCCCUUAGUGCUGCAGCUAACGCAUUAAGCACUCCGCCUGGGGAGUACGGUCGCAAGACUGAAACUCAAAGGAAUUGACGGGGACCCGCACAAGCGGUGGAGCAUGUGGUUUAAUUCGAAGCAACGCGAAGAACCUUACCAAAUCUUGACAUCUUUUGACCACUCUAGAGAUAGAGUUUUCCUCUUCGGAGGACAAAAUGACAGGUGGUGCAUGGUUGUCGUCAGCUCGUGUCGUGAGAUGUUGGGUUAAGUCCCGCAACGAGCGCAACCCUUGAGCUUAGUUGCCAUCAUUAAGUUGGGCACUCUAAGUUGACUGCCGGUGACAAACCGGAGGAAGGUGGGGAUGACGUCAAAUCAUCAUGCCCCUUAUGAUUUGGGCUACACACGUGCUACAAUGGACAAUACAAAGGGCAGCGAAACCGCGAGGUCAAGCAAAUCCCAUAAAGUUGUUCUCAGUUCGGAUUGUAGUCUGCAACUCGACUACAUGAAGCUGGAAUCGCUAGUAAUCGUAGAUCAGCAUGCUACGGUGAAUACGUUCCCGGGUCUUGUACACACCGCCCGUCACACCACGAGAGUUUGUAACACCCGAAGCCGGUGGAGUAACCAUUUGGAGCUAGCCGUCGAAGGGUGAGC
rnacentral:rRNA from 1 species